CCCUCAGAUGUUCUGGGCUGCACGCGUGCUACACUGAAGUGUCAUAGCGAGUUACCUAUCUUUAACGGGAAGGGUAAUCUUGAAUGCACUUCGUGAUGGGGAUAGAUCAUUGCAAUUAUUGAUCUUCAACGAGGAAUUCCUAGUAAGCGCAAGUCAUCAGCUUGCGCUGAUUACGUCACUGCUUUUUGUACACACCGCCCGUCGCUCCUACCGAUUGAGUGUUCCGGCGAACAAUUUGGACGAGCUCGGUUUACCUUGCUUGGAAGUCUUGUAAGCCAUAACACUUAGAGGAAGGAGAAGUCGUAACA
rnacentral:rRNA from 1 species